CGGGUAUGCCAUGUGUGUUUUGGAAUCUGCGCCAAAAUAUACUAAUGAAGCGGAAGGCUAUGACCCGUACCUACUAGAGGCGUCUGAGGCAGUCGCAGCUGUCAAGCGAGCGGACGGCCAUGGCGUCUAUUACUUCCAUAAUAUACCUCACAUCGAAUCGCUGCUCGCCAACCAAGAACUAAGAAUAAAAAACAAUUUAAAACCACAUCGAAUAGCCAGUAUACGGCACACGUGGCCUUAUAACCGACCGUAGCGAACAAAACCGACGAAUAAAACAACACCUUCAAUAUUGCAAUUAUAUAUUUGUAUACAGAUGUAAAAAUACUCAAUAAAAGUCAUUAAUAUUAUACAAAGGUA